GCGGAUGUCGUAUAACGGCUAUUACCCAAGCUUCCCAAGCUUGUGACAGGGGUUCGACUCCCCCCAUCCGCU
rfam:Treponema phagedenis F0421 genomic scaffold Scfld881, whole genome shotgun sequence.